AAUUAUAAUUUUCUCUUUUUUGAUUAUUUUAUUUUAUUUUGGGUAAAUUAUUUACAAAAUUUUUUAUAAAAAUUGUUUAGUAUAAUUUAAAUUUUUAAAGUAUAAAUUUUUGUACCUUUUGUAUUAGGGUAAUUUCAUUUUAUUAAUUAGUUUAUUUCCCGAAUUUGAGUUAUUUAUUUAAGUUUUAUUUUAUUUGUUUUAAAAAAUCUAUUUAAUCUUAUUUUGUAAUUAAAAGUUAUUCGUUCUCUAUUUAUAUCUGGUUAUUUUAGAUUAAAUUUAAUUUUAAAUUAUUUAUUUUUUUAUUAUUAAGUUAUUAAUUUUAUUUUAUAGGGGAUAAUCUUUAUAUUUUUAUAUAACUAUUUUAAUUUUAUAUUUUGAUAAAUUUUUAGAUUUAUUAUUCAGUUUUUAAUAAAUUAAUUUAUUUUUAUUAAAUUUUUUUUAGCUUAUUUUUUUAUAAAAUAUUCUUAAUUAAUUAAUUUUUAAUUUUUAUAAUGAUUUAAUUAGUAGAAUUUUUUAAUUAUUAAAAUUGAAUUCAACAAAUAUUAUUCUCAACUGUUUAUCAAAAACAUUUCUUUUAGUUUUUUUUAAAAGUAAAUUCUGCUCUAUGAUAAUUUAAAUGGCUGCAGUAUUUUAACUGUACAAAGGUAGCAUAAUAAUUAGUCUUUUAAUUAAGGGCUUGUAUGAAUGAGUAAAUGAGGGAUUAAUUUUAAUGAUUUAUAUUAUUUAAAUUUAAUAUUUUGGUAAAAAAGCUAAAUUAUUUAUUUGGGACGAAAAGACCCUAAAGAACUAUUUUUAAUUAAAUAUUUUUAAUUUUUUAUUAAUUUGAUUCUUUUAGUUAAAUUUUAUUGGGGUGAUAAUUAAAUUUAAACUUUAUUUUAUUAAUUUCUUUUAUAAAAGUUUUAUUGAUUCAUGUUGAUUGGUUUAAGAAAAAGUUACCUUAGGGAUAACAGCGUAAUUUAAGUGGAGAGUUCUUAUUUAUAUUUAAGUUUGCGACCUCGAUGUUGAAUUAAGAUAAAUUUUAGGGGCAGUACCUUAUUUUUUAAGUCUGUUCGACUUUUAUAAUCUUACAUGAUUUGAGUUCAAAUCGGUGUGAGCCAGAUUGGUUUCUAUCUUAAUAUAAUUGAUAUACUUUAGUACGAAAGGACCAAGUAUUACAUUAUUUUAAUUAAUGUUUAUGAUUUAAUA
rnacentral:rRNA from 1 species